CCUGAUGCAACCACUCCGCGUGAGGGAUGACGGCCUUCGGGUUGUAAACCUCUUUCAGUGCCGAUUACGCGCAAGUGACGGAAGGUACAUAAUAAGCACCGGCCACCUACCUGCCAGAACCCGUGGUAAUACGUCGGGUGAGAGCGUUGUCCGGAAUUACUGGGCGUAUUUAGCUCGUAGGCGGUUUGUCGCGUCGUCUGUUAAAACCCGCAGUUCAACUGCGGGCUUGCAGGCGAUACGGGCUGACUUUAUUUAUUAAGGGGAGACUGGAAUUCCGGGUGCAGCGGUGAAAUGCGCAUAUUUCAGGAGGAACACCGGUGGCGAAGGCGGGUCUCUGGGUAGUAACUGACGCUGAGGAUCGAAAGCGUGGGUAGCGAACAGGAUUAGAUACCCUGGUAGUCCACGCCUUAAACGGUGGGCGCUAGGUGUGGGUUACCUUCCACGGGAUCCGUGCCGUAGCUAACGCAUUAAGCGCCCCGCCUGGGGAGUACGGCCGCAAGGUUAAAACUCAAAGGAAUUGACGGGGGCCCGCACAAGCGGCGGAGCAUGUGGAUUAAUUCGAUGCAACGCGAACAAUCUUACCUGGCUUUUGACAU
rnacentral:rRNA from 1 species